rnacentral:lncRNA from 1 species
AGCCAUACAAGUUCCAAUGGCCAAUCUUUGGCCUAGCCUGCUUAUUGCCUUGGCAAUAGCCUUUCUAGCCAACAGUCAUGUAGCUGCUAGUUAUGAGACACCAUAUAUUUAUGCAUCGCCUCCACCACCUUACGUAUACAAGUCACCACCACCACCAUCUCCAUCACCACCUCCUCCUUACCUUUACAAGUCACCGCCACCACCUUCGCCAUCUCCUCCUCCACCAUACAUUUACAAGUCACCGCCACCUCCUUCUCCCAAGUCGUAUGUCUACAAGUCACCACCACCACCAUCUGAUGACAAGCCGUACGUCUACAAGUCUCCUCCUCCACCAUCCUCCCCUAAGCCUUACGAAUACAAGUCUCCUCCACCACCAUCACCGAAACCGUAUGUAUACAAGUCUCCACCACCACCAUCCCCAAAGCCUGCUUACGUGUACAAGUCUCCUCCUCCACCAUCCCCUAAGCCGUACGUAUACAAGUCUCCUCCACCACCAUCACCGAAGCUGUACGUUUACAAGUCACCACCACCACCAUCUCACAAGCCGUACGUCUACAAGUCUCCUCCUCCACCAUCCCCUAAGCCAUACGAAUACAAGUCACCACCACCACCACCAUCCCCAAAGCCUUCUUACUUGUACAAGUCUCCUCCUCCACCAUCCCCUAAGCCGUACAUAUACAAGUCUCCUCCACCACCAUCACCAAAGCUGUACGUUUACAAGUCACCACCUCCACCAUCCCCUAAGCCGUACGUAUACAAGUCUCCUCCUCCACCAUCCCCUAAGUCGUACGAAUACAAGUCACCACCACCACCAUCUGAUGACAAGCCGUACAUAUACAAGUCUCCCCCACCACCAUCAUCAAAGCCGUACUUGUACAAGUCACCACCACCACCAUCUCACAAGCCGUACGUCUACAACUCUCCUCCACCACCAUCACCGAAGCCGUACAUGUACAAGUCUCCUCCACCACCAUCUCCAAAGUCAUACAUAUACAAGUCUCCCCCACCACCAUCCCCGAAGCCGUACUUGUACAAGUCUCCUCCUCCACCAUCCCCUAAGCCCUACGUUUACAAGUCACCACCGCCACCAUCUCACAAGCCUUACGUGUACAAGUCUCCUCCGCCACCAUCCCCAAAGCCGUACAUGUACAAGUCUCCUCCACCACCGUCUCCAAAGCCGUACCUAUAUAAGUCUCCCCCACCACCAUCCCCGAAGCCCUACUUGUACAAGUCUCCUCCUCCACCAUCCCCUAAGCCAUACAUAUACAAGUCUCCUCCACCACCAUCACCGAAGCCGUACUUGUACAAGUCUCCUCCUCCAUCUCCAAAGCCGUAUGUUUACAAGUCUCCUCCACCACCACCACCAAAGUACUACUACAAGUCUCCACCGCCACCAACUUACUACUACGAGUCACCUCCACCACCCACAUACAUCUACAAGUCACCACCACCACCAUCACCUAAACCUUACGUGUACAAGUCUCCACCACCACCGAAGUACUACUACAAAUCUCCACCGCCACCAUCUUACAUCUACAAGUCACCACCACCACCAGCAUACAUCUACAAGUCACCACCGCCACCGCAUUCUUACAUUCACCUACCCGACAUUCACAUAUCACCAUUACCAUAUAUCUACAAGUCACCUCCACCCCCGCCUUACAUCUAUAAAUCACCACCACCACCCUCUCCAUCAC